rnacentral:rRNA from 1 species
GAUGAACGCUAGCGGCAGGCCUAACACAUGCAAGUCGAGGGGGAAGUUACUUUCGGGUGACUGAGACCGGCGUACGGGUGCGUAACGCGUAUACAAUCUGCCUUUCACUGGGGGAUAGCCCGAAGAAAUUUGGAUUAAUACCCCAUAGUAUAUAGGGACGGCAUCGUUUUUAUAUUAAAGCUUAGGUGGUGAAAGAUGAGUAUGCGUUCUAUUAGCUAGUUGGAGAGGUAACGGCUCCCCAAGGCGAUGAUAGAUAGGGGUUCUGAGAGGGAUGUCCCCCACACUGGUACUGAGAUACGGACCAGACUCCCACGGGAGGCAGCAGUGAGGAAUAUUGGACAAUGGUCGGAAGACUGAUCCAGCCAUGCCGCGUGCAGGAUGAAGGUCUUAUGGAUUGUAAACUGCUUUUGUAAGGGAAGAAUAAGGGCUACGCGUAGUUUGAUGACGGUACCUUACGAAUAAGCAUCGGCUAACUCCGUG